rnacentral:misc_RNA from 1 species
GAUGAAGAACGUAGCGAAAUGCGAUAAGUAAUGUGAAUUGCAGAAUUCAGUGAAUCAUCGAAUCUUUGAACGCACAUUGCGCCCGCCAGUAUUCUGGCGGGCAUGCCUGUUCGAGCGUCAUUUCAACCAUCAAGCCCUGCUUGCGUUGGGGUCCUGCGGCUGCCCGCAGGCCCUGAAACCAGUGGCGGGCUCGCUAGUCACACCGAGCGCAGUAAUACAUCUCGCUUUGGGCGUGCGGCGGGUUCUUGCCGUUAAACACCCCCUUUUUACCAAGGUUGACCUCGGAUCAGGUAGGAAUACCCGCUGAACUUAAGCAUAUCAAUAAGCGGAGGA